AGUGAACGCUGGCGGUAGGCCUAACACAUGCAAGUCGAACGGCAGCACAGUAAGAGCUUGCUCUUACGGGUGGCGAGUGGCGGACGGGUGAGGAAUACAUCGGAAUCUACUUUUUCGUGGGGGAUAACGUAGGGAAACUUACGCUAAUACAGCAUACGACCUACGGGUGAAAGCAGGGGAUCUUCGGACCUUGCGCGAUUGAAUGAGCCGAUGUGGGAUUAGCUGGUUGGCGGGGUAAAGGCCCACCAAGGCGACGAUCCGUAGCUGGUCUGAGAGGAGGGUCAGCCACACUGGAACGGGGACACGGUCCAGACGCCUACGGGAGGCAGCAGUGGGGAAUAUUGGACAAUGGGCGCAAGCCUGAUCCAGCCAUACCGCGUGGGUGAAGAAGGCCUUCGGGUUGUAAAGCCCUUUUGUGGGGAAAGAAAAGCAGCAGGUUAAUACCCCGCUGUUCUGACGGUACCCAAAGAAGAAGCACCGGCUAACUUCGUG
rnacentral:rRNA from 1 species